rnacentral:rRNA from 1 species
GAUGAACGCUAGCGGCAGGCUUAACACAUGCAAGUCGAGGGGCAUCGCGGAGUAGCAAUACUUUGGCGGCGACCGGCGCAAGGGUGCGUAACGCGUGAGCAACAUGCCCGCAACAGGGGGAUAACCCGAUGAAAGUCGGACUAAUAUUCCAUAGCAAGUAGGAGUGGCAUCACUUUUACUUUAAAGAUUCGUUGGUUGCGGAUUGGCUCGCGUGACAUUAGUUAGUUGGUGGGGUAACGGCCUACCAAGGCGGUGAUGUCUAGGGGUUCUGAGAGGAAGGUCCCCCACACUGGAACUGAGACACGGUCCAGACUCCUACGGGAGGCAGCAGUGAGGAAUAUUGGACAAUGGGCGGAAGCCUGAUCCAGCCAUGCCGCGUGCAGGAAGAAGGUUCUAUGGAUUGUAAACUGCUUUUGUAUGGGAGCAAUAAUACCUACGUGUAGGUAGAUGAGAGUACCAUACGAAUAAGCAUCGGCUAACUCCGUGCCANCAGCCGCGGUAAUACGGAGGAUGCGAGCGUUAUCCGGAUUUAUUGGGUUUAAAGGGUGCGUAGGCGGGUUGGAUAAGUCAGCGGUGAAAGAUUUGCAGCUUUAACUGUAGGGUUGCCGUUGAUACUGUUCAGCUAGAAAGUAGUUGAAGUGAUCGGAAUGUGUGGUGUAGCGGUGAAAUGCUUAGAUAUCACACAGAAUAUCGAUAGCGCAGGCAGGUCACUAAGCUAUAUUUGACGCUGAGGCACGAAAGUGUGGGGAUCAAACAGGAUUAGAUACCCUGGUAGUCCACACUGUAAACGAUGAUAACUAGUUGUCGGCGAUAGACAGUCGGUGACCAAGCGAAAGCGAUAAGUUAUCCACCUGGGGAGUACGGCCGCAAGGUUGAAACUCAAAGGAAUUGACGGGGGCCCGCACAAGCGGAGGAACAUGUGGUUUAAUUCGAUGAUACGCGAGGAACCUUACCCGGGCUCGAACGGUUGAUGAAUAAUACAGAGAUGUAUUAGUUCGCAAGAACAUCAGUCGAGGUGCUGCAUGGUUGUCGUCAGCUCGUGCCGUGAGGUGUCGGCUUAAGUGCCAUAACGAGCGCAACCCUUGUUGCUAGUUGCUACGAGAGAGCACUCUAGCGAGACUGCCGUUGACAAAACGGAGGAAGGAGGGGACGAUGUCAAAUCAUCAUGCCCUUUAUGUCCUGGGCUACACACGUAAUACAAUGGCGUUUAACAAUGGGAAGCGAAGCCGUGAGGUGGAGCGAAUCCCCAAAAGGCGUCUCAGUUCGGAUCGCAGGCUGCAACUCGCCUGCGUGAAGUCGGAAUUGCUAGUAAUCGCGGAUCAGCUAGCCGCGGUGAAUACGUUCCCGGGGCUUGUACACACCGCCCGUCACACCAUGAGAGCCGGGGACACCCGAAGCCCGUAGCCUAACCAUUUGGAGGGCGCGGUCGAAGGUGGAUUUGGUAAU